UCCCCCACUUCCUAUUAUUUAUUCCUCCAUCUCCAUCCCUGUUGUUUUGCUCAGUCUCUCUGCGCUUCUCUCUCUACACUGUUUUCCUGCUUCUUGUCCCUCUCUUGUUCCCAGCAUCCCAUUUUCUGGCUCCCUGUCUUGCACCUCUGUGUCCCUCUGUCCUUCCUCCUGCUUUACUCUUCCCUUUUAUCACCCCAUCCUGCUGCCUUUGGGCACUGAGCCUUGUAGCCAACUCAUUGCCAGGAUUUCUUAUAUGCAUUAAUGAAUAAAUUUUUCCUGCCUCCUCUGUGUCCCUGGAUGUGGGUAGGUGCAGGGGCAGGGAUAAUAUGCUGUGGGGCUUUGGCAAUGGCCCCUGUUCCUGAUGGGCUCCAGCUGGGGCUGGGAUGGCCCCAGGUGUGGCCAGUGAGGUUGAGGAUGGGGCUGGCCCUGCUGUGUGAAGGGGCUCCAGCUGUAAAGGGGGCUGCCUGGGCAGGGGAACUGGCUGAGGAGGGAGUGCAAGGGGGUCUGGCUGGUAGGUGCCUGCAGCAAGGAAUGGCCAGUCCCUGUGGCAAGGAAGGAUCCCUCUGAGCUGUUCCUGGCCUCUGUUGGCUACAUGCGUGAGCUGCCACGUAUCAAGGAAGCCUUGUGGAUGAGGAGCAUUGAGGCGUCCGCUGCGUGCUGCCGAGUGGGUGAGGGUCAGGCAGCCGGCACUGGGGAGGAGGAAGGGGCAGAGGCAGAGAGAGAAACGUCGGGGCGGUGAAGGUCUCCUGCCGGCACCAGGAGCUGUGUUGCUUGAGACUGGCUGGGCAUCGGUCAGUUGGUGGUUUCUUAUAGGCACCCUUUACAUACCAUGAAGUCUGCUAUAAAGUCUCCUGCAAAGCUGCAUGCCAGUGAGCGGUCCGAGAAGGUGAGGCAGUUGUCGG